UCCAAAUAGCAUCUAUGGCAAUGUUAGGGUGUGAAACUAAAAAUGAUUGCUGCCACACUGUGACAUGUGGAGUGUGAGCAUUGUCAAUACCAGAGAGGACAGAGGGUUAUCUGGAACAGAGCAAAGCUCUGAGGGUGGAUUCUGAGCUGGAGAAGAUGUG